AGUGAGGAAUAUUGCACAAUGGGGGAAACCCUGAUGCAGCAACGCCGCGUGGAGGAUGACGCAUUUCGGUGUGUAAACUCCUUUUAUAUGUCAAGAAAAUGACGGUAGCAUAUGAAUAAGCACCGGCUAACUCCGUGCCAGCAGCCGCGGUAAUACGGAGGGUGCAAGCGUUACUCGGAAUCACUGGGCGUAAAGGACGCGUAGGCGGGAUGCCAAGUCUGAUGUGAAAUCCUAUGGCUUAACCAUAGAACUGCAUUGGAAACUGGUAACCUAGAGUAUGGGAGGGGGAGAUGGAAUUUAGUGGUGUAGGGGUAAAAUCCGUAGAUAUCACUAGGAAUACCUAAAGCGAAGGCGAUCUCCUGGAACAAUACUGACGCUAAGGCGUGAAAGCGUGGGGAGCAAACGGGAUUAGAUACCCCGGUAGUCCACGCCCUAAACGAUGAACACUAGUCGUCGGGAUGCUUGUCAUCUCGGUGAUGCACUUAACAGAUUAAGUGUUCCGCCUGGGGAGUACGGUCGCAAGAUUAAAACUCAAAGGAAUAGACGGGGACCCGCACAAGUGGUGGAGCAUGUGGUUUAAUUCGAAGAUACGCGAAGAACCUUACCUAGCCUUGACAUUGAUUGAAUUCUGUAGAGAUACGGAAGUGCCUUUUGGGGAACAUGAAAACAGGUGCUGCACGGCUGUCGUCAGCUCGUGUCGUGAGAUGUUGGGUUAAGUCCCGCAACGAGCGCAACCCUCGUCCUUAGUUGCCAGCAGGUUAAGCUGGGCACUCUAAGGAGACUGCCUUCGCAAGGAGGAGGAAGGUGAGGACGACGUCAAGUCAUCAUGGCCCUUACGGCUAGGGCUACACACGUGCUACAAUGGGGCGUACAGAGUGUUGCGAUACCGCGAGGUGGAGCCAAUCACUUAAAGCGUCUCUCAGUUCGGAUUGGAGUCUGCAACUCGACUCCAUGAAGCUGGAAUCACUAGUAAUCGUAGAUCAGCAAUGCUACGGUGAAUACGU
rnacentral:rRNA from 1 species